GACAAACGCUGGCGGCGUGCUUAACACAUGCAAGUCGAACGGAAAGGCCCGCUUGCGGGUACUCGAGUGGCGAACGGGUGAGUAACACGUGGGUGAUCUGCCCUGGACUCUGGGAUAAGCCUGGGAAACUGGGUCUAAUACCGGAUAUGACCUUACAUCGCAUGGUGUUUGGUGGAAAGCUUUUGCGGUUCAGGAUGGGCCCGCGGCCUAUCAGCUUGUUGGUGGGGUAAUGGCCUACCAAGGCGACGACGGGUAGCCGACCUGAGAGGGUGAUCGGCCACACUGGGACUGAGACACGGCCCAGACUCCUACGGGAGGCAGCAGUGGGGAAUAUUGCACAAUGGGCGCAAGCCUGAUGCAGCGACGCCGCGUGAGGGAUGACGGCCUUCGGGUUGUAAACCUCUUUCACCAGGGACGAAGCGCAAGUGACGGUACCUGGAGAAGAAGCACCGGCCAACUACGUGCCAGCAGCCGCGGUAAUACGUAGGGUGCGAGCGUUGUCCGGAAUUACUGGGCGUAAAGAGCUCGUAGGCGGUUUGUCGCGUCNUCUGUGAAAUUCUGCAACUCAAUUGUAGGCGUGCAGGCGAUACGGGCAGACUUGAGUACUACAGGGGAGACUGGAAUUCCUGG
rnacentral:rRNA from 1 species